rnacentral:tRNA from 1 species
UUAUCGAGUGGCCGAGUGGUUAAAAGCGACAGACUGUAACUCUGUUGAAGUUUUUCUACGUAGGUUCGAAUCUGGUCUCGUCAUUC